UGCCAACUGAAGGUGUUGGAGACAAAGAGAUCAGGGUCUUACUCUUGGUUACUUCCAUCUUCUAUUCCAUGAUGCAUAUACCUGGUAACAGCUUUAGACCCACUAAGUGUCAUUACCAAGUAACCACAGGAACAUGCAGCAUAAUUUGAGAAGCCCGAGGCACCUGAACGUACUGUACUGUGGGUUUCCCUUUUGAACUCAGCAGGGAUACAUGUGUGUGCCAAAAAACUCUUUCCUGCCUAACACCAAAGACCAAGG